UGCUAGGGUUGUCACAAAAAGGGGACUACAGAUUGGGUGACUUAAGUAACAGAAGUUUACUUUCCACAAUUCUAGAAGCCGGAGUCCAAGAUCAAGGUGUUAUCACAGGUGGAUUUCUUCAGAGGCCUUUCCUCUUGGCUUACAGAUGGGGAAGCUGAGGCCCAGAAAGAGGAAACGGCUUGCCACCCAAAUCACCCAGC
rnacentral:lncRNA from 1 species